UGGAAAUACUUGGGAGGAAGCUUGGGAAGCGGAGGGCACGGCUUCUUCGUAAAUGGAGGAAUCUUCGGAAGAGGAGGAAGUGGCUUGUGAGGAAUAGGAGGGAAGGGUUUCGGUUUGUAAAUAGGAACCGGCGGUGGAAGCGGCUUCUUAUAAACCGGUACCGGAUGAGGCUUAUAAACCGGUGGUUUGUAGACAGGAACCGGCGGUGGAAGCGGCUUCUUGUAGACCGGCACCGGAUGAGGCUUAUAAACCGGUGGUUUGUAGACAGGAACCGGCGGAGGGAGUGGUUUCUUGUAGACCGGCACCGGGUGAGGCUUAUAAACCGGUGGUGGAAGAGGUUUCUUGUAGAUGGGAGGGUGAGGGUAAUGAUGGUGGAAGCUUUUCAAUGGCGGAAGUGGUGGAAGCUUAGGCAAUGGAGGGAAGUUGUGGUGGUGGUGAGGCCAAAAGGAGGCUGAGACACAU
rnacentral:lncRNA from 1 species